ACUCAUUCAGCAGAUACUUAGGAGCAGUCCCCAGGUCCUGGGAAUAGAAGGGUGGACGAGAGGGUCACCCAGAUUCUCCUCAUUAUAAUAAUAGCAAUAGCUACCCCUCUGGGUCCUUGUAUGUGCCAGGUCUUUACUAUGUGUUAAGCAAUUUUCAUUUAUUAUCUCCCUUGAUCUGUACAAAACCCAUGAGGGAGGAUUCAUAUUAAAAUCUCUGUUUUACAGAUGAGAAAACUGAGGCUUGGAAUGGUGAAGGAGGUCACUGAAAGUCACACUGUGAGUUAAACUGCAAAGCUGUGAAUGGAAAACCCCCUAAGGCCCUGCUCUUAGCUCCUCUUGGUUCCCUGUUGCAAAGAGGCAUUCCCCAGGCAGCUGUGAGGUGGAAAUCUCUGUCUUCAGGCUUGCGGCUGAGAAGUUUCCCAGAGACGAGAAGCUGGAGCCUUUGGAGACCCCACUCGGCUGAGGUCCCGGGACCACGAGGGGGCAGCAGAGGUCUGCUGCGCUGGCGGGAGGCUCUGUCCCCGGCUGACUGCAGGCUCCGGGCAGCUGUCCUGAGUUAAAACCUGAACCUCGGGUGGCCGAGAAUAGCAAGGGGCUGUCAUUCACGUGGGCAUCUUCCUUCCCAGGGUUUCGAAAGCCC
rnacentral:lncRNA from 1 species